rnacentral:lncRNA from 1 species
GGGGAGAGUUGAUAUUGGAACCAAAUUCCAAAUCAGAAUUUGAGAUUAUUGUUGAGGUCAAACAUUGAAUGCUACCUGUACUUUUGAUAACUGUCUGAUUGAUUUGUUUCUGAUCCAAGUAUUUAUCCAAAGAUAUUUUUGAUUCAGAUUUCUGUUUAAUGUGAUGAAUUUGUAAUAGAAAAUUUUUUGGAAAAUUAGAGGAGUUACCCCUGUCAUUUUGUGUUGGUCAAAUACAAAUUAUUUUCUUUUAAACAUUUUCUCCUUUUUUUCUUUUCUUUUCUUUUUUUUUUUUUUAGACAUGGCUUCGCUCUGCUACCCAGCCUGAAGUGGCAAAAUCAUAGCUCACUGCAGGCUCAAACUCCUGAGCUGGGACUACAGGCAUGGGCCACCAUGCCAGCUAAUUUUUUAAUUUUUGUAGAGAUGGGGGUCUUGCUAUGUUGCCCAGCCUGGUCUGGAACUCCUGGCCUCAAGUGAUCCUCCCUUCUCAGCCUCCCAAAGUGCUGGGAUCUUAUUUCAUCUUUAAAAAUAACCCAAGUAACACCCAAUUAAUAGGACGUGUUUUACUGGUUGGAGAAAGUGUUUGUGUCACUAAAUGGGGCAUAGGCCACCUUUGCAAGGCAGUCCCUCCUUUAUUGUCCAAGACAGCAGAGAUACAGAAGGCUGGAUGUAGACCCAACAGCCUGGUGUCCCCCGCGUCGUCUGGGGCCCCCACCAGGCAGUUCCAGAAGCCGUCUCCAUGGCCUGCUUGUUUAAGGCAUCCACUGUGAACAGACCUUAGGAGGGCCAAGCAGGGAAGAUGUAUAUAAGCACCAAAGGCCAGGACUGUGUCCUAGUGGGCAUAGCCUCUUCCAGACUUAGGUGAGUUCUUGGGGGGAUCAAAAAAGAGAGACCUGCUGAAGUUGCAAAGGCAUCUACUGGGCGAUAGCAUAAUCAGGGAUGAGGGCAGAGGGAUGGGACUGAUCAUGAGAAAGGCAUCUUAGCCUGAUCACAUUCUCCAAAAGUGGCACAUUCUCCAAAUUUUUCAACAACUAUUCAAAGGCUGUAUGUUUACUUACUAGUGGUUAGAACCAUGCAGGAGGAUAUGAAAAAAGUGACUUAUUAAUGUGCAAUUGAAACAUCAGCAGCCAGACCAGGAGACACAUUAAGAAGGUAAGCAAACGCUGGCUGCUUGUCUUGUGCCUCCCUCCUUGCCCUGCUCCUAACUUUGGAACAUGGCUCUUUCUGCAGCUGAGACCCCCUGGCACAUCCUCCUGCUGAAUCUUACUGCCAUUUUGCAGGCACUCCAAAAUCUUCAUCUAAAUAUCCAUGUGAGAAACCAGCCAUGAUGAGGACUCCCCAAGGCCACCCAGGGAAACUUCACUCAGAGAAAACAGGAGACAUUCCAAGUGUUGGACUGGAACAAUAAACCUCUCAAUGUCAAAGAAGCCCUGCUUCUCUUUGUACUCUCCAUAGGCUUGGGAAAGCCCUCCCUCCCUCCCCAGGGAGGGUGGGUGUGACAGAUUGUUGGAUAGGUGAUGACUGAUAGCACCAAGAGAGGAAUCAUUGCCUUGUGCCUGUGGCCAGGUGCUCUUGUCUCCGGCUCACCAGCUCUCAACAACAUCACUCAGGAUAGAGCAAAGACCAAAGCUGUGCUGUAUCACUAUCUCCACUCUACAUUUUCUCUAUGCUGGUGAUAGGAGCAUCCUGUUUCUGGGUGUCAUUUUAGUACUAAAAAGGGUCUUUCAGUGUGUUUCUUCUGGGUGCCCAGUCUCUCUUGUCAUGGCAGACCAGAGAAGGAAUUUCACCAGGUACGGGCCUUCCUUCAAAGAGGUCACAACAUCCCAGAAACUCACCCACCAUAAUGGAACACAGCAGGUAGCACUUGACUGACUUGAGCAGGGGGCACAAGUGCUUUGGGGGUAGAGGGACAGGAGUGAUCGAUUCUGCUUGGAGAUAAGAGAGAAAGGGAAGUGUUUUCAAAAUGUAACCUGGGUCAUACUGUGAACACGUUGUUUUAUCUUACAUUUAAUUUCUUAAUUUUGUAAGUCCAUAUUCUCUUAAAUUUUAUUGAAAGUAUAAAGCAGAAGCUAUCCAAAAACUUUUGUUUCCCUAGAUAAAUGUUUUUCAAAAUAUUGAUUUUUUUCUGCAUCUUUAGUUGUGUUCUUCUCUUAAGCUACAGGCCCAUCUUUUAUUCUUUUUACUCAAUCAAUUGCUCCAUAUUCUCUCUCUUUCUCUCCUUCACUUCCUUCCUCUCUUUUUCUCUUUUCUUCUCCCUUCCACCUCCUUAUUCUCCUUCUUUAUCCAUGAACAAAAAGGACUCUAUCCAUGUCUAGUGUUUGCCUAGACCACUGGUAAAUCCAUGCCAAUCCAUGCCAUUGGUAAUCCAUUGGUAGACUUUCCCUGGCCCCUUCAUGUAAUAGUUACCUUGCUUUGUGAUAAACCAUUUUUUCCAGAGCUUGCGGGAGGUUGGUAUCAGUUAGCUUUGCUGUGUAACAAAUCACCCAGAUCUCAGUGGCUUAAGAUAUCAAUGACUUAUUAUUGCUCAUAUCUUGGGUCUACUGGGAUUUGGCUGAUGAAAGCUUGGCUCAGCUGAGGGCCCUGCUUCAGGUAUCUUGGCAGCUGUUUCCCACUGCAGCUCUGAUGGUUGGGUGGGGCAACCCUACGUCAUACAGGCUUCAUCCUUCAUUGACCAGUGCACUGACCUGGUCAUGUUUAUCAUAUUAUAGUGAUGAUAGAGGUACCAAAUAACAAGCAAAAACAUGAGUCUAGGCUCAGAGUGGCAUACUGUCACUUCCGCCCAUAUAUCAUUAUCCAAAACAAGUCACACGGCCAAGCCCAAAUUCAAGAAGCAUGAAACUCCAUUCUGCCAUUCUGCCCAUGGAGAUACUGUGAGAGCUAUGGAGCCACUAGGAGAGGAUGCAUACAGGAUAGGGUAAGAAGUUAAGGACAAUAAUGCAAUCACCCACAGUGGUUCCAAGAUAAAUAAGAGAUCUAGUGACUUGGAGUCUACCUUCAAUGGGUCAAGAGAAAAGACUGAGAAGGGAUUCUCCAAGAGAAGGAAGGGUACAAGACCGGAGUGAAAUGCAGUUCAGGCUAGCAUUGCUUGUUUUUCUACUUGCUCCAGGCUUCACUGAUCCUCCCAGGAACCGCUCAGAGCCUGCUCCUCUCAGGCUUUCCUGGGGGUAAGCCCAGUUCCAAUCUACUGAUUCUUGCUUUCUUCUGGAGUCUUGCAAAGAAAACCCAUAACAGAAUGAAUGAUUUCCGAGCUAGCCUAACAAGCCAAGUAGACCCCUCAGUUUGCAUGUGGAUCAGCUUUUACACAGCUGAGUGCGUUUGUCAACUGUGACUCUCUGGAAGUGUCCAUUUUAGUGCAAGUAUCUGCUCACCAACUGGUACUCAUAAACAACUCCCUAAUGGGCUCAUCAAGGCAAUGAGCAGAAAUUUUUGCACAGAAUAAAAAAUAGUCUCGCUGGGUGCGGUGGUUCAUGCUUGUGAUCGCAGCACUUUGGGAGGCCGAGGCGGGUGGAUCACGAGGUCAGGAGAUCUAGACCAUCCUGGCUAACACGGUGAAACCCCAUCUCUACUAAAAAUACAAAAAAUUAGCCGGGCGUGGUGGCGGGCGCCUGUAGUCCCAGCUACUCAGGAGGCUGAGGCAGAAGAAUGACGUGAACCCGGGAGGCGGAGCUUGCAGUGAGCCUAGAUCGCGCCACUGCACUCCAGCCCAGGCGACAGAGCGAGACUCCGUCUAAACAAACAACAACAAAAAAAGUCUCCUCAAGGGACAGAGCCCAGCCUCCAUUCCGUAUUCCAAGGGCUUGGUCUCCAGUCCCCGUUGUGUCAGAAAAUGCCACUCACUGGUUGGAACACAAAGACUUUCUUUAAAGAAAACCACAUUUAAUGCAAACAGUGUGUUCUACCUGCUUAGAAAGUCAUGGAGGUAUUGUGAUGAAAAGAAAACUAGAGAUUAUCUAGUCAAAAGUCGGCAAGCCUUUCUGUAAAGGGCAAGAGAGUAAAAAUGUUAGGCUUUGUGGGCCAUACAAUCUCUGUUGCAGUGACUCAACUCUUGCUGUUAUAGUGUAAAAACAGCUCUAGACAAUAUGUAAACAAAUGAGCGUGGCUGUGCUCAAUAAAACUUUGUUUACAAAAAUAACUGGCAGGUCAAAUUUGAUCCACUGGCAGGGCUAUAAUUGACUAAACUCUGCUCUGAUCUAACCUCCCAUUUUACAGAUUUGGCAACUGAGAACAUUGAGGCUUCUUGUCCUGCUGUUACUGAACCUGCAUCACACCUGCACUGUGGCAAUGGUCUUUUGGUACUGACUGUGCUCCUUUGCAGGGCUCUACCAGGCUGCGAGGCCCCAGGAUGAGGGUGCUGAGGGGUUGGUGCCUUGGCCUUGAUGGUUGUGAAACAAUUAAAAUAUCACCCUUACUUGUUUAUGUUCAAGGCUUCCUACAAGACAGAUCUUCUUGACCUUGGAGACCUGGAAUCAUCCAUCUUGUAACCCCAGUGACUUCCCGGCUCAGCCUCUGGUGCAUAGCAAGGGCACAGUCAAAAUGAAUGAAUGAGGCCCAGCGAGCAGGAGUGACUUGACCAAGGUGCCACCGUCUGCUUAGCAGCAGCACAGGGACCAGAAUCCAGGACAUGGCAUUGCAAGGUAAUCUUUGCUCAUGCAAAGUAAUCUGCUAUUGGUUAGAUAUAAAGCUGGGUAAGCGGUUGAAUAAUUGCAAAAAUAAUAGUUAAUUCAUCAACAAAUACCUACCCAAAGCACCUGCAAGUUGGGAGGCCCUAAGCCAAAUGCUGCAGGCGGGGAAGGGCUAGCCUGCAAGGAGGCUGCAGUACCAGAGGAGACACAUGCAAAUAGCUCUAAGCCUAGUGCUCAUUUCUAGCUAUAGAAUAGAUUCUGGAAGAAUAUGGUUAACUUUUAUUUUCUACUUAUCUCUGCCUUGUGCUCCACUAUAUGUACACAGUAAGUCCUCGCUUCACAUUGUCAAUAGGCUGUUGGAAACUGCAACUUUAAGGAAAACUAUGUGCAGUAGAUCUUCAAAUAACAUCGUUUCUUCUUUUUAUUGUAAUGUUGACGAGGAAAAAAUUGGUUUUGUUAUAUGUUGUUUCACUUGAAGUUUUCAUUUUCAAGAAUCUAUUGAUGAUGUUAAAUGAGUAUUUACUGUAAUUACACACACACACUGCACCCACCACACACACACACUUAUCACACACACACCACACACACACCACACACACACACACUGAACCCACACACCAAACACACACCACACACUACAAACAUCACACACACACACCACACACAUAACACACCAAACACACACCAUUACACACACACAAUUUCACAUAUACAUCUGCACCUACCUACAAUAUUAAUUCUCCUGUACAUAAUAAUAAUACAAUUCACAAUACACUGGAACCUACAAUU